rnacentral:misc_RNA from 1 species
UAAAGUGCGAUAUGUAGUGCGAUUUGCAUGAAUCUGUGAGUCAUCUAAUCUUUGAACGCAACUUGCGCCUCGUCAAGAGGCAUGUCUGUUUGAGUGCCGCAAACAUCAAUGCAGCAAUGCGAUUUGAUCAAGUCUCUGGACUCGAUUUAAAGAAAGCCAGAAAAGUUUGCAUUGGGCAAGCCGAGUGCUAAGCAUUCUUGGUAACGCUCACUGCGGCUUUAUGAAAUUUUUACUUUGGCCUCAAAUCAGGCAAGACUACCCGCUGAACUUAA